ACAGAUUGCAUCGUUAGGGUUAUACCCAAACCCAAACCCUUUCUCUGUCGGCGAAGAGUCACCAAACAACCGAUCAAACCGGUAAUAGCAUUUUUGAGCAACAUGUCCUAACCGGCCACAUAGUUGACAUUGUGGACGACCACGACCAUGAUAGGAAGCUCGAUCACGGGGUGAAAGAUCUGACGAAUAGGACUCGAUCGAGGAACUCUGUUCUACCGGAGAAGACCCAAACAGAGCAGACUGUUGAAUUAGAUUCGCCUGAACAGGAACCUCAACUACAAAUUGUUUCUGUCGAUUCUCACACUCAAGAAGCAUGCUGGUGAGACGAUCCAACGGAAGAGACUCAGAAGCAUAUGAGGCAAAUGUCAAGACUGAGUCGAACUCCAUUGAAAAACCAACAAAGAUGACGCUCACUUAUUCUUCAUUAAGAACAUCAUGACCGAAAGCACUCAAAAGAUCACAAGUGGCCUUGAUUUUGGCCAAAUACUCCUUCACAGUCAGGUGACCUUUUUUCAGAGAAUGCCACGAGUGCCUUAAGUGAGACACCAUGGUGUUUGACGUCGCCACAAAUAGAAGACAAGCCUUGCUCCAAACAGCAUAAGUCGUGGUGGUGCCUGUAAAGUAAGGGACAACCGGAGGAGGAGUAACCACUGUGUCGGUGAUAAAGUCGGUUAGUCCAUAACCAUCACCAAUAAGACUAACCUGAUGCUUCCACUGAACAAACGUGCUUUUUUGAAGCUUUAUUAUAUCAUGACGAGGAAACGAGUGAAUGGCUCGAAACGCAGUGCCUCCCUACGAGAAACAAGAAGUCAAAAACCACUGAGUAGGGAUCGAAGCUGCAGAAUCCUCAAUCUAGUCCACGAUCCACCCACACCAUACUCAGUCAUCAUCCAAAAAUCAUCGUGCAUCAGAUGGCGGUUAUGAAGCACACAAAGGCAACCAUUAAGAACUCCUACCACGAACACACAUGUAGAACCAACAAUGUCAGGUGAUGGCAUGUCCUAAAAGGGGAUUUGAUAUAAGAGAAAGUCAUUGUUUUAAGACACACUUGUAUUGGCAAAGCGUUUUGACAACUAAUCUUGAAAGGAUUUCCACCAUGAUUUCUUGGGGAAGAAUGGGGAUUUCAGCUCAUUCCCCUACAACUAGUGACUACUGCUGAAAUCUUUGUUCUUUUCUCAUGAUUUUGAUGGAAUAUCAAAGAACAAAGAGUGAUGAAAUGCCUCAAAGAGGAGAGAAAAUGGAUUUGAGCAAUUGUACAUUCUUGAAAAAUGAUAAAUAUUGAAUUUGCAGCUUCGUGUUUUAGAAUUA